GUGGGCCUUUGCGAGAUGCUAUUUAUAGGCCACACGUUGUUCUUGUCGGCCUCAUUUUUCCUUGUUCGGGGUUUGAGGUGCCACCUUACAAAAGGAUGGGUGUACGCUCUCUUUUCAGAAUGUGGUUCAUCUCAAAGCCCUUUACACUUUGGAGCCAGGCCUGUUCAAUUUUACAAAUAACACGUUUUGCUUGUAGUCAGGGUGCUGUGACAACAUGAAGAGUUCGAGCUACCUCCCAGGAUGAGUGCAGGUUUUCCUGGUGACAAAUCUCAGGCAUUCAAAGGUUCUGUUAGCAGUGCCAUACUUGUGGGUUUACAGAGAUGGUGUGUCUGGCUGAGAACAAAGGAGCCGUACCAGGAAAGUUGAAGCAUAUCUUCAUUUUCAAGUCCAGGCUAAAAUAAGGUCUGAGGAAAAGAAUGAGCUGCGUGUGAAGGAUAGGAACAGAAAUCAUGAAAGAUCUGUUUGUCCAGGCCAGUGUUUCACCAUAAGAGAUCACUUUAAAAUAAAUGAUGAAAUAAUUCUUUGCAAUUGCAAAUUUACCUUCCUUGCUUACCACAUUGUUAACUGUAGGAGCUGAUACCUGGUUCUUCCACUGUUAACUUGUACUCUGUGUUUGUUCUAGCAAUAAAUGCUCUUUAUGCUAUUUA
rnacentral:lncRNA from 1 species